AAAUUGAAGAGUUUGAUCAUGGCUCAGAUUGAACGCUGGCGGCAGGCCUAACACAUGCAAGUCGAGCGGUAGCACAGAGAGCUUGCUCUCGGGUGACGAGCGGCGGACGGGUGAGUAAUGUCUGGGAAACUGCCUGAUGGAGGGGGAUAACUACUGGAAACGGUAGCUAAUACCGCAUAACGUCGCAAGACCAAAGUGGGGGACCUUCGGGCCUCAUGCCAUCAGAUGUGCCCAGAUGGGAUUAGCUAGUAGGUGGGGUAACGGCUCACCUAGGCGACGAUCCCUAGCUGGUCUGAGAGGAUGACCAGCCACACUGGAACUGAGACACGGUCCAGACUCCUACGGGAGGCAGCAGUGGGGAAUAUUGCACAAUGGGCGCAAGCCUGAUGCAGCCAUGCCGCGUGUGUGAAGAAGGCCUUCGGGUUGUAAAGCACUUUCAGCGGGGAGGAAGGCG
rnacentral:rRNA from 5 species